ACCUAAUGAGGCAGAACAGUGAGCUUCUGAUACAGUGAGAGACACAGUCUUAAAAGACAAGGUAGGGAAAAUUAGAGGAAGACACUUGAUGUUCUACAUCUAUACACACAUACACACACACAUACACACACAUACAGAGACAGAGAGAUCGACAUAGAGAAAGAAGUUGCAGUAUUAAGUUGAGUAUUAAAAACUUUAGAAGUUGGACGGUACCAAUCUUGGUUUCCAUCAUGGCUGAAGCACACAAGGGCACAGAACAUACUCCUUUACCUUUAGACAGAGGUGCUCUGGAGAACACCCUCAGCCUGCUGCAUGCUCUUUAUCAGAUGGGUUCCAUGUGAAGAGGGCAUAAGAACAUGCCUCAGGCCAGCUAUAGGAGCCAAGAAGCAGAGGCCACUGUGGUCAGAGGGAGCCAUCAUUAGCCCAAGUGGAGAGAACCAUACUGACAGCCCCGGAAUAAUACAAAGAACCAGAAGAGAGAGAUUCAAAGUAAACUUUAUAAAAGUUACUUCAGGAUGCAGCCAUAGAAUCUACUGAACACCUUCCAGAGUUGCCUGAGUAAUAUCAGUUGUUCCAGUUAGAAAACUUC
rnacentral:lncRNA from 1 species